AUUGAACGCUGGCGGCAUGCUUUACACAUGCAAGUCGAACGAUAACAGGUUAAGCUGACGAGUGGCGAACGGGUGAGUAAUGCAUCGGAACGUGCCCGGUCGUGGGGGAUAACGCAGCGAAAGCUGCGCUAAUACCGCAUACGAUCUGAGGAUGAAAGCGGGGGACCGUAAGGCCUCGCGCGAUCGGAGCGGCCGAUGUCAGAUUAGGUAGUUGGUGGGGUAAAGGCUCACCUAGCCAACGAUCUGUAGCUGGUCUGAGAGGACGGCCAGCCACACUGGGACUGAGACACGGCCCAGACUCCUACGGGAGGCAGCAGUGGGGAAUUUUGGACAAUGGGCGAAAGCCUGAUCCAGCAAUGCCGCGUGCAGGAAGAAGGCCUUCGGGUUGUAAACUGCUUUUGUACGGAGCGAAAAGGUCUCCUCUAAUACAGGGGGCUCAUGACGGUACCGUAAGAAUAAGCACCGGCUAACUACGUGCCAGCCGCCGCGGUAA
rnacentral:rRNA from 1 species